rnacentral:lncRNA from 10 species
CGGUGACUCAGUGGUUGACUCAAAGGCUAGAGGGUGGUUUGGGGGUGGAGGCAGAGGUCCAGUGAGCUGGGCUCCACCCUUUCUCUCCCUGCAGUCCCAACUCCAUUUUUAUCUGUGCUAUAUGUUGGAGUCUAGCCAAGAUGUCAUUUGAACAAAGAUUCUGAAAGAUCAAAGAAAAAAGUUUGAAAACCACCAGGACAAUGCUUUCAGGGGACUUUAUCCAAAAGACUGCAACAAUGUAAAGAGAUACGAUUGCUUUUAUUACUGUGAUAUGUUUAAAGUAUUAUAAAUUUUUUAAGAGCUUUGUAAGUGACAGAAGUGAAGACAUGCUCAUUUUAAUGUUACCAGUCAACUCUGAGAAGACUAAAGGUCAAGGGACAAUGAAAAUGUGACCCUUACCAACGACAGAAACUCCCAGGAAGCCACAAUUAACUCAAGACCACCAGGAUAUUUGGGGAAGUUUAUCCUUCUGGAAACCAGAAUUUCUGAUUUGUGGAAAAUUCUAUAGAUAUUCUCUGCCAGACUCCAGCCUAUUUGAUGAAACAAUUGAGGCCAAAGAGAUAAAGUGACAGCCACCAUCAUCCCAACUAAGUUGGAAGGCCAAAUGACAAAAGGAAACAUAAGAACGCAAUUACCUGAAUGACA